AUUGAACGCUGGCGGCAUGCCUUACACAUGCAAGUCGAACGGUAACGCGGGGCAACCUGGCGACGAGUGGCGAACGGGUGAGUAAUAUAUCGGAACGUGCCCAGUAGUGGGGGAUAGCCCGGCGAAAGCCGGAUUAAUACCGCAUGAGACCUGAGGGUGAAAGCGGGGGAUCGCAAGACCUCGCGCUAUUGGAGCGGCCGAUAUCAGAUUAGGUAGUUGGUGGGGUAAAGGCCUACCAAGCCGACGAUCUGUAGCUGGUCUGAGAGGACGACCAGCCACACUGGGACUGAGACACGGCCCAGACUCCUACGGGAGGCAGCAGUGGGGAAUUUUGGACAAUGGGCGCAAGCCUGAUCCAGCCAUGCCGCGUGCGGGAAAAGGCCUUCGGGUUGUAAACCGCUUUUGUUCAGGAAGAAAUCUUCUGGGUUAAUACCUCGGGAGGAUGACGGUACCUGAAGAAUAAGCACCGGCUAACUACGUGCCAGCAGCCGCGGUAAUAGUACUUA
rnacentral:rRNA from 1 species